UACGUAGGGGGCAAGCGUUGUCCGGAAUCAUUGGGCGUAAAGCGCGCGUAGGCGGCCCGGUAAGUCCGCUGUAAAAGUCCAGGGCUCAACCCUGGAAAGCCGGUGGAUACUGUCGGGCUAGAGUCCGGAAGAGGCGAGUGGAAUUCCUGGUGUAGCGGUGGAAUGCGCAGAUAUCUGGAGGAACACCGGUGGCGAAGGCGGCAUCCUGGACCGGCAUUGACGCUGAGGAGCGAAAGCCAGGGGAGCAAACGGG
rnacentral:rRNA from 1 species